CAUGUCUAACCCUGAGGGGAAGGACGUUACGUGAACCCUCUAAAAUCACCCGCAAGAGGAAGAGAUUUGCUAGCAUGAACUCAAGCGGGAGUGAGAUGUUUGUUGUGAUAUAAUUGUGAUAUGACGCAUUUCAUGAAUGCAUGAAUAAGAAGAAUAAUUGAAUUGAAUAAAAUGUCUUUAUAAUAAAAUACAUAAAAAGGGUGGAACAAUAAAAUAGAUAAUAAUAAACCUAAAAAAAAAAGGAGGAACUAAAUCAAAUGUUUUUCUCUGUUUCUACUCACUGGGCUCUUGUAGCUCACCCCAUUCCCUUAACCCCAGUUUUGCAGGGCCAGAGUAAGUAAGCCAGAGUUCAGUCAGAGUAAGCUAUGGGGAAAGAAGAGGUUCAAGCAUGGGUUGCCAUGU
rnacentral:lncRNA from 1 species